rnacentral:rRNA from 1 species
GGCCUACCAUGGUGGUAACGGGUAACGGGGUGUUAGGGCACGACACCGGAGAGGGAGCCUGAGAAACGGCUACCACAUCCAAGGAUGGCAGCAGGCGCGCAAAUUACCCAAUCCCGACACGGGGAGGUAGUGACAAUAAAUAACAAUACGGGGUCCUUUCGGGUUUCGUAAUUGGAAUGAGUACAAUUUAAAUCUCUUAACGAGGAACAAUUGGAGGGCAAGUCUGGUGCCAGCAGCCGCGGUAAUUCCAGCUCCAAUAGCGUACAUUAAAGUUGUUGCAGUUAAAAAGCUCGUAGUUGAAUUUCGGGAUUAGUGCGCCGGUCGUGCCUUCGGUAUGUACUGGUGUUACUGGUUCCUACCUUCUGACGAACCGUCAUGUCAUUAAUUUGGUGUGGCGGGGAAUCAGGACUGUUACUUUGAAAAAAUUAGAGUGUUUAAAGCAGGCUCGCGCUUGAAUACAUUAGCAUGGAAUAAUGAAAUAGGACGUUCGAUCCUAUUUUGUUGGUUUCUAGGAUUGACGUUAUGAUUAAUAGGGAUAGUUGGGGGCAUUAGUAUUCAAUUGUCAGAGGUGAAAUUCUUGGAUUUAUUGAAGACUAACUACUGCGAAAGCAUUUGCCAAGGAUGUUUUCAUUAAUCAAGAACGAAAGUUAGGGGAUCGAAGACGAUCAGAUACCGUCGUAGUCUUAACCAUAAACUAUGCCGACUAGGGAUCGGAUGAUGUUAUUUUUAAUGACUCAUUCGGCGCCUUACGGGAAACCAAAGUGUUUGGGUUC